rnacentral:lncRNA from 1 species
UCCCACGUGGGGUUCACAAUCUUAAUUCCCAUUUUCCAGAUGAGGCCACUGAGCCACAGAGAAGUUAAGUGGCUUGCCCAAAGUCACCCAUCUGGCGAGCGGCAGAGGCGGGAUUAGAACCCAUGACCUCUGACUCCCGAGCCCGCGCUCUUUCCACCGAGCCACGCUGCUUCGCUCCCCGGCCGGCACGGAGGACGAGAGGCGCGCGCCGGCUUGAUCGGGCCGGCCCCUCCACCCCGCGCUCCUCAGCAAGCCUCCGCGGCCGUUCCGGAGAAACGGGGACGGAAGGAGAAGAAGCAGCUGCGAGAGCCGAAGCCGCUUCCCCGCCGCCCCUUCCUUCCCGCACAAGGGUUUGGGAGGCCUCCCCGGGAGUCGGGCCGGACGGGGGGGGGGGGGGGGGGGGAGGGCAGGGGACGGAGCCUUCCCAUUGGUCGGCCUUGCCCCCCUCGGGCCGGCCCGGCCCCGCCCCCCGGGCGGAGUCCGGGCAGGGCGGCUUCCCAUUGGUGGACCUCGCCCCCCUCGGCCCGACCCCGCCCCGCCCCGCUCCCCGUGCGUCGUUAAAGGAGGAAGGGGCGGAGGGUGGGGGUGGCGUGGCGUUGCUCGCCGGCAGCCGGCAGCGAUCGAGCGAACGGUGGCGGCUGGCUUCGGGCCGUCGCUGCCUCCUUCCCCUCCCGUUCUGUGCCUCCUCCCAUCUAGGGAGCGGGAGCGGGAGUGGUGUCCCGCCGCCCGCCCCGGGGAGAAGGAAGAGUUUCCUCCUCUCGUUGCCGCCGCCGGGGUGCCAGCUCCCCGAGGAGGGGUAGUUGGAGCGGGGCGUCCAGCCUGCCCGGAUCCGGCGCUCGCUCGCUCGCCCGCCCGCCCCCCGGGGGUUCGCCCCCCCGGUCCCUCGAGCGGCGGGACCGACCCUCUGCGAGGAGGCGGAGGACGGAGAGGCGAAGGGGUGACGGUCGGUCGAGGUCCGGGCCGCCCCCGGUGGCUCCCCUGGCGAGCGGGCCCCGGGGCCGCUUUGCCGUCCGGAGAGCGGGGACGGGGACGGGGUUGACACCCGGGGCAGCGCCCCCAAGUUACCGGCUCGGAUCCUUCCGGGCGGGGGCGGUUGACGGCCGAUCUCCCCGUCGGGGACGGGAAGCGGAGAGCGGGCCGGAGCGGCGAAAACUUUUCCUUCCGAUCUCGGCGGGGCGGCCGGGGCAGGAAAUCCGGGACCGAGCUCUCCACCGACCCUCCCCUCUCUCUGCUUUCUCCUCCUCCUCCCCUCUGCCUUUUUCCUUCCCCUUCCUUCGCCGCCACGCUGUCGGGGGCCGAAGUCGGGGGGAAACAGAAAAAGGCGGCCCCCGCGCAGUAGAAGGCGGCGGCGAUUCCCGGGACUCCGGCUCCGCGGCGUCCGCAGGUCGCCUCUCCCCGGCCGGGGGAGGA